GCGGGGCGGUGCCGCGGCCUGAGCGCAGCGGAGAGGCGGGCCGGGCCCAUGUGGGGGGUGCUGCGGGGGGCGCUGCGGGGGGCGCGGCGGGCGGGCGGGGCCGUGCGCGCCGCCUCCUCCCGCCCCAUGGCGGCCCCGGGCCCCGCCGCGCCGCGGGGCAGCACCGCCGGCAUCAUCGUCAUCGGCGACGAGAUCCUCAAGGGCCACACGCAGGACACGAACUCGUUCUUCAUGUGCCGGUGGCUGCGCGCCCUGGGCGUGCGGGUGGCGCGGAUCUCGGUGGUGCCCGACGACGUGGAGGCCAUCGCGGGCGAGGUGGCCGCCUUCGCCGCCCGCUUCACCUUCGUGCUCACGUCGGGGGGCAUCGGCCCCACGCACGAUGAUGUGACCUUCGAGGCCGUGGCCAGGGCUUUUGGCGAGCGGGUCGCCCCCCACCCUGAGCUGGUGGCGCUGGUGCAGCAGUUCUUUGGGAAGACGGACGCGCAGUGCCCCGAGAUGAAGCUGGCGCGUGUCCCCGAGUCCUCCCGCCUCAACUACGGCACGGGCAGCGCCUUGAAGUACCCGCUGGUCAGCGUGCGCAACGUCUACAUCUUCCCCGGCAUCCCGGCACUGAUGGAGCGCGCCCUGGACGGCUUUGCCCAUCUCUUCCGCAGCGAGCAGACCCAGUUCCACUCCCGCACCGUCUACGUGGCGGCCGACGAGGUGCUCAUCGCGCCCGCGUUGGACCAGGUCGAUGCCGCCUUCCAGGGUCGCGUCAGUUUGGGCUCCUACCCGGACUGGGCCAGUAACUACUACCGAGUGAAGCUGAUGCUGGACUCGGAGUCGGAGCAGGACCUGGAGGAAGCGCAUCGCUUCUUGAUGGAGAAGCUGCCGCCGGGCGUUGUCGUGCCGUUGGUGACAGACUGCAUCGCGCCGGCGGCCACCGAGGUUUAUGGCUUGGCUGAGUCAGGCUCAGCCCUGGGGCAGAAGGUGGCAGCAGCACUGCGGACCAUCGAGGAGGCUUUGGACCGGUACAGCCUGACCCAGCUCUGCGUGGGCUUCAACGGGGGGAAGGACUGCACAGCCCUGCUGCACCUCGUCCAUGCUGCUUUGGACAGACGGUACCCGGCGAGGCAGGAGAAGCUGCAGUUGCUCUACAUCCGCAUCGUGUCCCCCUUCCCCGAGAUGGAGCAGUUCAUCCAGGCCACCGUGCGGAGGUACAAGGUGCAGCUCUGCACCGUGGAGGGCUCCAUCCGGGAAGCUCUGAUCCACCUGAAGGAGCAGCAGCCGCAGCUUGAGGCUGUGCUGAUGGGGACGCGGCGCACGGACCCCUACUCGCGCACCUUGACAGCCAUGUGCCUGACGGACCCCGACUGGCCCCCGUACAUGCGGGUGAACCCCCUGCUGGACUGGACCUACCGGGACAUCUGGGAGUUCCUGCGCCAGCUCUUUGUCCCCUAUUGCGUCCUGUAUGACAAGGGCUACACGUCCCUGGGGAGCAUGGCCAACACGCUCAAGAACCCGGCGCUGCACUACACCGACAGCCAGGGCCGGGACCGGUACCGGCCUGCCUACGAGCUGGAAAACGAGGAAGAGGAGCGCACAUCCCGCCAGUGAAGGCCCCACGGGCACCCCUGGCUGGUGCAUCCGUGAGCUGCUGGACUAGGACAUGGACAUCCCCCCCCUCCCCGGGCACCAGCCGGCACCUCCUGCCUGCCCUGCGCAGUGAUGGGCCUGGCUGCUUCUUGCCUCGUGCUGAUGGAGCUGAUGGACACCCAGUGCUGGGACCCCGCUCUGCUGUCACAGAGACCCCAAUAAACCUGAGCAGCACCUGA